rnacentral:misc_RNA from 1 species
ACAUUCUCAUCUCCGCAACUCUUAAAGUAAACAACACAUAGCUAAAUAAAUAAUCUAUCAAAAUUUCCAAGAGACUCUCUGGAGUUAGCAAUCAAUUAACAAACCAAAAGACAUUAGAGAAGCAUAAAUGAAGAUUUGUUUGCACAGUUGGAAGAUUAAUGGACUACCUCCACAUAUAAAAGCAGAGUAGCAAACACAAAGCGAGAGAAUUAAUCGUGUAAGCACUUUUGAGCACCUUGAUCAUGAGAAACAACUUCCUUUUUGGCCCACUUGAUUGCUUAAAAGUAUCAAAAGUAAAUGGGAAAUUUCAUAAAACAGCCACUCCAGCCUUAAUGAGCUAUAGGAUUCCAAGCUUUCACUGGCUUCCCCAUCUAAUAAGAUUACUAUAUUGAUCAUAAUUGUUGCGUUCUCUAGAAUAGUAAUGAUUAUACCAAAUAAACACAGUUCUCUACAUAAAACAAAUCAGAAUCUGUGAACCAAAAUAUCAGGAGUUCAAGGAAAGACUAAUAGAUCCAGAAUAGCACAAAUUACAACAAUGUUAAGAGGUCAGAGAUUACACACUAAUAAUUAGGGAAAAAAAUACCCAAGAAACAGCUUUUGACAGUGGCGGGUCUCCCGUCCCUGUGGGAGUGAAAUCAUCCAAGUCGGGUAAUUUAAGGGGCAAAUCAGCUUCAGGAAGUGGAACACCCUCACCAGUAUCCUCCAAGAAAACAACCGGGAUAGGUUCCCCCCAAUAACGCUGCCGAGCAAAAAGCCAAUCCCUCAACUUGUAAUUCACCUUUUUCUUCCCAUUUCCAG